rnacentral:misc_RNA from 1 species
UUGCUUUCUUACACUUGCCAAUUUGUGGGCAAAUUUAGUUAGCAGCGAUCCUCCAAAUUUGCCAUGCAUACAUGUUGGCUGCUGAGAAUGUUGGGAUAAGUCGGAUGUCUUUUUAGCAGCUACUUACCUGUCAAAGAGCACAAGCUGAAUGAACUAAACCAUUUGUAACAAGCCCUGUGGAGCAUAAACCAUUUGUGAUAGCCUUCCUGGGCAUAAACCACAAGGUGCACCGCCACAGAUGGCACUCGGGGAUUUUAGAAUUACAGUAUGAAAACUGAAGAUGUAAAUGGCUGACCAGGCAAAAAGAAUCCAGGUUAACAUUUUUUUUUAAAUGUCUACUGGUUGCCAUUCAUUACAUGAGAUAUGUGACAUAGCAAUUGGAUGUAGAGUUAAGUUGUGAAACGGGUAUGUCAAAUACCAUCCAUAUACCUAGAAAUGGAUAGGAUUAUGACAUGCAUACGAUUGCUUCUUUCCAGAAUCCAUCCACGUUCGAUUCUUUCUUCUUUCAUCUCAUGUUUGAAUUGUACGUGAAGUUGUAAAGAAUUCUACUAUCAAUUUACCACAUUAUUUAGAGAAUGCAAAAUUUCUGGG